AUUGAACGCUGGCGGCAGGCCUAACACAUGCAAGUCGAGCGGGGUUUUCGGACCUAGCGGCGGACGGGUGAGUAAUGCGUAGGAAGCUACCCGAUAGAGGGGGAUACCAGUUGGAAACGACUGUUAAUACCGCAUAAUGUCUACGGACCAAAGUGUGGGACCUUCGGGCCACAUGCUAUCGGAUGCGCCUACGUGGGAUUAGCUAGUUGGUGAGGUAAUGGCUCACCAAGGCGACGAUCUCUAGCUGGUUUGAGAGGAUGAUCAGCCACACUGGAACUGAGACACGGUCCAGACUCCUACGGGAGGCAGCAGUGGGAAUAUUGGACAAUGGGCGCAAGCCUGAUCCAGCCAUGCCGCGUGUGU
rnacentral:rRNA from 1 species